GAAGCCAAGUGGAUCAAGGCAGUGGAUUGUGAAUCCACCACGCGCGGGUUCAAUCCCCGUUGUUCGCCC
rnacentral:tRNA from 1 species